CACUAAUAAUAGCAAAAUAAUGCUGUCUGUUUAUAUAGAUCAAACAUUAACAACAAACAAAUCUCAAUCUGGUCAGCAUUUUAAAUAAUCAGUUCUGUGAAUUGAAUAUGCAAAUCAGCUUACUUCUUUAAAUGUGACAGUUCAUCUUUGUGAUCUGAACAGACAUCUGAACUCUGGAAACUAAGGCUAUCUUUCUGGUUUAAACUUAACAUACACCAUGUUUAAAAAGUGUAUUUUAUUUGUACUUCUGAACGUUUUACCACGUUUUGAAUGUCAGACAUUCACUCAGUCUGAAGCAGUGGUUAAAAAACCAGGAGAGUCUCACAAACUUACAUGUACAAUAACUGGAUUUACUUUCAGCGGUCUUUAUUUACACUGGAUCAGACAGAGCCCUGGAAAAGGACUGGAGUGGAUUGCA